rnacentral:rRNA from 1 species
AACGAACGCUGGCGGCAGGCCUAACACAUGCAAGUCGAACGCCCCGCAAGGGGAGUGGCAGACGGGUGAGUAACACGUGGGAACGUGCCCAAAGGUUCGGAAUAUUCCCGGGAAACUGGGAGCAAUACCGAAUGUGUCCGCAAGGAGAAAGAUUUAUCGCCUUGGAUCGGCCCGCGUUGGAUUAGCUAGUUGGUGGGGUAAAAGCCUACCAAGGCGACGAUCCAUAGCUGGUUUGAGAGAACGACCAGCCACACUGGGACUGAGACACGGCCCAGACUCCUACGGGAGGCAGCAGUGGGGAAUCUUGGACAAUGGGCGCAAGCCUGAUCCAGCCAUGCCGCGUGAGUGAUGAAGGCCCUAGGGUUGUAAAACUCUUUCGCCGAGGACGAUAAUGACGGUACUCGGAGAAGAAGCUCCGGCUAACUUCGUGC